UUUUAAUAUACUGUUAUAUCCGAUUGACUACAGUUUUGUUCACUAGUUUAGCAUCUAUGUUCAUCAGAUAUGUUGCUCUGUAGUUUUCUUUUUUGGUUGUGUCCCUGUCUGCUUUUGGUAUCAGAGUGAUGUUGUCUUCACAGAAGUGGAAAAGGAGUAUUCCUGUGUCUCAAUCUUUUGGAAGAGAUUUAAAGUAUCUCCCUCUCCUUAGCACUUAUUCAACCCAACAUAAUUCCUUCUAGUAUCUUCCAUGUUGGUGCAAGAGAAUGUUGACAUUUUUCCCAACUAUAGUUUUCAAUUGUAUAUGCCACAACUCUGUAAUGCAUCUGUAAUCAUAUAUCUGUAGAGACACUUGGGUUGAUGAAUGCAAUGAAAUGGUGUGCAUAUAUCUUUUCAGACAGGUGGCAUACUCUUGGAUAGAUGCCGGAGAGAGAACUGCUGGGUUAUAUGAACCUGGUCCUGAUGACAGCACAACAGGAGGAAUCAUGCUAUGGUGUCUACUCACCCUCUUCCUCAUCUCUGACUGGAGGGAAUCCAGAGAGUCUGCUGGAGCACUGGAGUCCUGCAGGCAGCAGCUGGAGGAAAGGAUGAAAUCAGGCGUGAAGGAGGAGAGGCUGUGCACAGGGCCCGGGUGGCUGCCCUGCGAUGGGAUGAGGUGACCAGGGGCAGCGUGGAGGGACCAGCACUGCCCAGACCCUGGGCUGUGGGUUCGCAAGGCUGCCCUUCAGGAGUGAGGGGCCCGAGGGUGCGGAGUCACAAGAAGCUUGCGGACAUGGGAACUGCAGUCCUGCAACAAGGCUGCCAGGCACCCAUGCCGUUGGGGGGCAGAUGUGGGGUUCCCGGGUCCCCAGUGGCAUGUGGAUGGACAGCGGCACCUCUGCCCAGACUCCCCCUUGACCCGAGACCAGGCUCUGCAGGCCUCUGUGCUCCUUGGCCUCCCCAAGGAAGCCAGUUUUGAAAAAUAAAAAUAAGAAUUAGAAACAAGACAAAGUAUUCCAAUUAUUGUUAGGGAAACAAAUUUAGAUUCUCAAUAGAAAAUUGAGGAUACUGGAGCCAGGUUUUGGGGGAAGGAGACAGGAAUGUUUUAAUGCACAGACCAAAAGCUCAGAUUAUUCUGCAAGUUUUUGGCCCCCAGUUGAAUCCCUAAACAGUAGAAACAAUGUCCUGGAACAAGACACUUCAAGAUCCAGGAACAACAUACCUGCUGGGUUGUGGGAGGGAGGGAGCCAGAGUCUGGCCACCUGAGGCCACAGUGGCCCCUGCUGUGAGGAGGGGCAAGGUCCAGGAGAGCAGUGCAGCUCAGGACCAGCUGUCCAUAAUGCCCAGACACUCCACAGGCAGGACUCCUUAAGGAGACAGGGAGGAUUCUGAUUGUCAAACUUUAUGUGACAUCACAAUGAGCCCUGCCUCAGCCUUAGCUGCUCUACAGGAUGACUGAAAUUUUAGUGAGUGCUUCACUAAGUAGGUCAUUAAGGGAGUAAUCAAGUUGUGUCGCUUCACUGCUCCUUUUAAAGAAGAUAACAGUUCAGUUCUGAAAUAAAAUUGCUGCAAAA